GAUGAAGAACGUAGCGAAAUGCGAUAAGUAAUGUGAAUUGCAGAAUUCAGUGAAUCAUCGAAUCUUUGAACGCACAUUGCGCCCGACAGUAUUCUGGCGGGCAUGCCUGUUCGAGCGUCAUUUCAACCAUCAAGCCCUGCUUGCGUUGGGGUCCUGCGGCUGCCCGCAGGCCCUGAAAACCAGUGGCGGGCUCGCUAGUCACACCGAGCGCAGUAAUACAUCUCGCUUUGGGCGUGCGGCGGGUUCUUGCCGUUAAACACCCCCUUUUUACCAAGGUUGACCUCGGAUCAGGUAGGAAUACCCGCUGAACUUAAGCAUAUCAAUAAGCGGAGGA
rnacentral:misc_RNA from 1 species